rnacentral:rRNA from 1 species
UCAAGACGCAGUCCUCGGUCUAGAUAGGCAGUAUCAACAAAGUCUAUAACACUUCACCGAAGUAAAGCUACAUUCCAAUGUCAUUAUCCUACCAUCCAAACCGAUGCUGGCCCAGUAAACUGCGAGGAACCCAACCAAAAAGGAAGGGAACGCAAAAUACCAAGUCUGAUCUCAAGCCCUUCCCUUUCAACAAUUUCACGUACUUUUUCACUCUCUUUUCAAAGUUCUUUUCAUCUUUCCAUCACUGUACUUGUUCGCUAUCGGUCUCUCGCCAAUAUUUAGCUUUAGAUGGAAUUUACCACCCACUUAGAGCUGCAUUCCCAAACAACUCGACUCUUCGAAAGCACUUUACAUGGAAUUGGGCAUCUCAUCGCACGGGAUUCUCACCCUCUGUGACGUCCUGUUCCAAGGAACAUAGACAAGAGCCAAAACCAAAGUUACCUUCUUCAAAUUACAACUCGAACACUGAAAGUGCUAGAUUUCAAAUUUGAGCUUUUGCCGCUUCACUCGCCGUUACUGAGGCAAUCCCUGUUGGUUUCUUUUCCUCCGC